UUGUGAUGGCCAGUGUACAUGUCAGCCUUUAAAAAGCAGAUUAUGACCUUAGCUUUCAUUCUAAAUGCUUUUUAGAUAAGGUAUAUUGAAAUAUCUAGAACCCAGGCAUAGUUGAAAGUCUGUUUCAUGUCUUAAACAUAUCAGUGUGUUUUGUUAGCUUUCAUUCUAUAAUCACCCAAAAGUUACUGGAUAUUGGGUAAAUGUAAUAGGCAAUUGGAAAACAAUUACCUAAUAGUUUUUCUUUACCUCAUAGGUUUCCAUUAGGAAUUUUUCAUAGAUAAUUAUUCCUAAUGAUAAAAAGGUUCCUGGGAUAAGAUAGAUGGAAGGAGUACUAAAGGAAUAUGAAGUCAUAGUCAUUGCCCUAGAGAAGAUACUCCACUCCACAAAGAGCUGAGGAUUGAACUCAGGACCUCUGACUUACCAG